rnacentral:rRNA from 1 species
UGGGGAAUAUUGCACAAUGGGGGAAACCCUGAUGCAGCGACGCCGCGUGAACGAAGAAGGUAUUCGUAUCGUAAAGUUCUGUCCUAUGGGAAGAUAAUGACAGUACCAUAGAAGAAAGCUCCGGCCAAAUACGUGCCAGCAGCCGCGGUAAUACGUAUGGAGCGAGCGUUGUUCGGAAUUAUUGGGCGUAAAGGGUACGCAGGCGGUUUAAUAAGUCGAAUGUUAAAGAUCGGGGCUCAAGCCCGCAAAGCAUUGGAAGAUAAUGAACUUGAGUAGUGGAGAGGAAAGUGGAAUUCCUAGUGUAGUGGUGAAAUACGUAGAUAUUAGGAGGAAUACCAGUAGCGAAGGAGACUUUCUGGACACAAACUGACGAUGAUGUACGAACGAGUGGGGAGCAAACAGG